rnacentral:rRNA from 1 species
GACGAACGCUGGCGGCGUGCCUAACACAUGCAAGUCGAACGGAAAGGCCCUGCUUUUGUGGGGUGCUCGAGUGGCGAACGGGUGAGUAGCACGUGAGUAACCUGCCCUUGACUUUGGGAUAACUUCAGGAAACUGGGGCUAAUACCGGAUAGGAGCUCCUGCUGCAUGGUGGGGGUUGGAAAGUUUCGGCGGUUGGGGAUGGACUCGCGGCUUAUCAGCUUGUUGGUGGGGUAGUGGCUUACCAAGGCUUUGACGGGUAGCCGGCCUGAGAGGGUGACCGGCCACAUUGGGACUGAGAUACGGCCCAGACUCCUACGGGAGGCAGCGGUGGGGAAUAUUGCACAAUGGGCGGAAGCCUGAUGCAGCAACGCCGCGUGCGGGAUGACGGCCUUCGGGUUGUAAACCGCUUUCGCCUGUGACGAAGCGUGAGUGACGGUAAUGGGUAAAGAAGCACCGGCUAACUACGUG